AAAAUCAGAUCCAAAUUCAAAUUCAUUCUUAGUUUUUUUUUUUUUUGGUAAAAGAAAAAAAGAAAAUUUCAAAAUGUAUUUCACUAGAACUCUUGUGCUUCUACUUGUUUGUUUGAUAGCAAUGUUUGGUACAACAUUUGCAUGUAAAAAAGAAAACGAAAGUUGCAGCAGUGACAGGGAAUGUUGCAGUGGAGGUUGCAGAGCAUACUUUGGAAAAUUAAACAAAACAUGCUGGAGAGAAGUCAAUGGCUGAUUUAUUUGGCACAAUUUGAUCAUUAACGAUAUAUACGAUAAGGAGAAUGAAAUAUGAAUAAUAUAUUUUUUUUAAUGUAUUUUUAAUAUCAAAUAAUAUUUUGUUGAAAAUAAAGAUAACAUGUGACAAAAAAACAAAAA